rnacentral:misc_RNA from 1 species
GAUGAAGAACGUAGCGAAAUGCGAUACUUGGUGUGAAUUGCAGAAUCCCGUGAACCAUCGAGUCUUUGAACGCAAGUUGCGCCUCAAGCCAUUAGGUUGAGGGCACGUCUGCCUGGGCGUCACAUAUCGUUGCCUGAUGCCAGUUUCCUCGUGAUGGGUGACUGUGCAGGGCGAAUGAUGGCUUCCCGUGAGCAUUGUUGCCUCAUGGUUAGUUGAAAAUUGAGUCCUUGGUAGGGAGCGCCGUGAUAGAUGGUGGUUGAGUGACGAACGAGACCCAAUCAUGUGAGACCCCUACCGAAUUUGGCCUUCAUGACCCACAUGCGUCUUUGGAACGCUCAUGACGAGACCUCAGGUCAGGCGGGGCUACCCGCUGAGUUUAAGCAUAUCAAUAAGCGGAGGA